GAUGAACGCUGGCGGCGUGCCUAAUACAUGCAAGUCGAGCGAACGGACGAGAAGCUUGCUUCUCUGAUGUUAGCGGCGGACGGGUGAGUAACACGUGGAUAACCUACCUAUAAGACUGGGAUAACUUCGGGAAACCGUAGCUAAUACCGGAUAAUAUUUUGAACCGCAUGGUUCAAAAGUGAAAGACGGUCUUGCUGUCACUUAUAGAUGGAUCCGCGCUGCAUUAGCUAGUUGGUAAGGUAACGGCUUACCAAGGCAACGAUGCAUAGCCGACCUGAGAGGGUGACCGCCCACACUGGAACAGAACCCGGGCCCAGACCCCUGCGGGAGGAGGAGGUAGGGAUUCUUCCGAAAGGGGCGAAGGCCUGACGGAGCAACCCCGGGGGAGUAAUAAAGGUCUGGGAAUCUAAAAACUUUGUUUUUAGGAAAAAACAUAUUGGAAAGUAACGGCGCACAUCUUGAGGGUCCCUAAUAAGAAAGCCACGGCAAACUACGUC
rnacentral:rRNA from 1 species